rnacentral:rRNA from 1 species
GAUGAACGCUGGCGGCGUGCCUAAUACAUGCAAGUCGAGCGAACAGACGAGGAGCUUGCUCCUCUGACGUUAGCGGCGGACGGGUGAGUCACACGUGGAUAACCUCCCUAUAAGACUGGGAUAACUUCGGGAAACCGGAGCUAAUACCGGAUAAUAUAUUGAACCGCAUGGUUCAUUAGUGAAAGACGGUUUUGCUGUCUCUUAUAGAUAGAUCCGCGCCGCAUUGGCUAGUUGGUAAGGUAACGGCUUACCAAGGCAACGAGGCGUAGACGACGUGAGAGGGUGAUCGGCCACACUGGAACUUAGACACGGUCCAUGCUCCUGCGGGAGGCAGCAGUAGGGAACCGUACGCAAUGGGCGAAAACCUUACGGAACAACGCCGCGCGAGUGACGGAGGUCUUGCGAUCGUAAAACCCUGUUAUUAGGGAAGAACAAAUGUGUACGUAACUAUGCACGUCUUGACGGUACCUAAUCAGAAAGCCACGGCUAACUACGUG